rnacentral:tRNA from 1 species
GUGGUGGUGGUUCAGUGGUAGAAUACUCACCUUCCAUGCAGGAAAACUGGGUUCAAGUCCCAGUCAAUACA